rnacentral:rRNA from 1 species
GACGAACGCUGGCGGCGUGCCUAAUACAUGCAAGUAGAACGCACAGUUUAUACCGUAGCUUGCUACACCAUAGACUGUGAGUUGCGAACGGGUGAGUAACGCGUAGGUAACCUGCCUGGUAGCGGGGGAUAACUAUUGGAAACGAUAGCUAAUACCGCAUAAUAUCGAUUAUUGCAUGAUAAUUGAUUGAAAGAUGCUAUUGCAUCACUACCAGAUGGACCUGCGUUGUAUUAGCUAGUAGGUGAGGUAACGGCUCACCUAGGCGACGAUACAUAGCCGACCUGAGAGGGGGAUCGGCCACACUGGGACUGAGACACGGCCCAGACUCCUACGGGAGGCAGCAGUAGGGAAUCUUCGGCAAUAGACGAAAGUCUGACCGAGCAACGCCGCGUGAGUGAAGAAGGGCUUCGGAUCGUAAAGCUCUGUUGUAAGAGAAGAACGGGUGUGAGAGUGGAAAGUUCACACUGUGACGGUAUCUUACCAGAAAGGGACGGCUAACUACGUG